AGAGUUUGAUCCUGGCUCAGAACGAACGCUGGCGGCAUGCCUAACACAUGCAAGUCGAACGCAUCAUCUUCGGGUGGUGAGUGGCGCACGGGUGAGUAGCGCGUGGGAACCUGCCCUCGAGUGGGGGAUAACCGAUGGAAACGUCGGCUAAUACCGCAUACGACCGGGGAAACCUGGGGAAAGAUUUAUCGCUGGAGGAG
rnacentral:rRNA from 1 species